rnacentral:misc_RNA from 1 species
GAUGAAGAACGUAGUGAAAUGCGAUAAGUAAUGUGAAUUGCAGAAUUCAGUGAAUCAUCGAAUCUUUGAACGCACAUUGCGCCCGCUAGUAUUCUGGCGGGCAUGCCUGUCCGAGCGUCAUUUCAACCCUCAAGCCCCCGGGCUUGGUGUUGGGGAUCGGCGAGCCUCCGCGCCCGCCGUCCCCUAAAUCUAGUGGCGGUCUCGCUGUAGCUUCAUCUGCGUAGUAGCACACCUCGCACUGGGAAACAGCGCGGCCACGCCGUUAAACCCCCAACUUCUGAACGUUUGACCUCGGAUCAGGUAGGAAUACCCGCUGAACUUAAGCAUAUCAAUAAGCGGAGGA